CAUGCUUAAACCUUUAAAGUACUUACUUGUAUUCAGGUCUUCAAAGUUGUUGUUUGGCUUUAUAGUAAACAGGAUAAAACUGUCUGGAGAAAUGUGAACAUUUAGAGAAGGAGAUAUGCGUGUAUAUGCUUUAAUGAAGGUGGCAACUUUAUUCUUUGAAGUAUCCAGAGAAUUAUGAAAGAAGACUUAGAUAAUCACAAGGCAACUUCUCCAGAAAUGAGUGCUCAUCAGUGAAAACCAUAGUGUACCUCUGUGUAUGGUUCCUUGAUCCUGGUGGGAGAAACUGCGAUUCAUUAUGACUGUGUAAACACUGGUGCAGAGGAAGGAGACUUGAUCUAGGGAUUGGAGUUGUCAAAUGUUCCAGUGACCUUCUGUGUGACCUUCAGCAAGUUGUUUUUACUCUCUGAACCUCUGUUUCCUUAUCUACGAUUUUUCUGUAAUUCAGUGAUUUAUAUACAUUGCCUGGAAGAGGGACCGGCACAUGAGAGAUUCGUCAAGAGUUAGAUAUGAGUCAGGCGCAGUGGCUCACGCCUGUAAUCCCAGCACUUUGGGAGGCCGAGGCGGGCAGAUCACGAGGUCAAGAGAUUGAGACAAUCCUGGCCAACAUGGUGAAACCCUGUCUCUACUAAAAAUACAAAAAUUAGCUGGGUGUGGUGGCGCGUGGCUGUAGUCCCAUCUACUCGGGAGGCUGAGGUGGGAGAAUCACUUGAACCCAGGAAGCGGAGGUUGCAGUGAGCCAAGAUGGUGCCUCCACACUGAAGCCUGGUGACAGAGCAAGACUCCGUCUCAACAACAACAAAAAGGAGUUAUAUAUGUUCUCAGGUUAACAGCUGAAUAAAUAACAAAGAAUGUCAUUGUGCCUAGCAGCUAAGACUGUGGGAAGACUGAGUCUCCCGUUCUAUGCCUCACCCUGCAGUAUAGGAAGAUGCCACCUGGGUCAGCUGGGUCAUCUUGGAUAAAGUGGUUACCCCUUAAAGACUAAUGUGCCACUUGCAUGGUUAAAAUCUUGGCUCAAGUGGCUUAUUGGAUUAUACAGCUUUCUCAUGACAGUCGCACGUCUCUGAAAUUCUCAUGAACUGCUGUUUGGAAAGACUACAGUUGCUGAAAAUAAACAGGAACCAAAAAAUGCAAGCUGUCCUCUGUUCCCGGGAAAACCUAACUGUGCAAACAGCUUCCUACCCAUGAGGGACAGUACAGAGCCAGGUAUAGGAUGACUCACUGGAUUUAUGAAUCUUCUGUCUGUUGAGUAAGCAAGCACUGAGGAUGUUUACGAUAUAUUUUAGUGUUCUUUGAAGGUGUUACACUAAAUGGGGAAAUGCCCUCACCCUUAAUGGCCUUAAUAAUGCUACCAUAAUAUCCUGACUACAUUCUCAUAAGCAAUCUUUUCUUUCUUUUUUUGUUUUUGAAGUCAUCCAGGCUGGAGUGCCGUGGCGCGAUCUCGGCUCACUGCAACCUUCACCUCCCGGUGCAAGCAAUUCUUCAGCCUCAACCUCUCAGUAGCUGGAAUUACAGGCAUACACCACUAUGCCCUGCUAACUUUUGUAUUUUUAGUAGAGACAGGGUUUCACCAUGUUGGCCAGGCUGGUCUCGGACUCCUAGCCUCAAGUGAUCCACCUGCCUCAGCCUCCCAAAGUGUUGGGAUUACAGGCAUGGGCCAUCACUCCUGGCUGCCAUAAGGAACCUUUAUAUUAGUGAGUAAUAGCAGCCACACAGUAAGUUCAUGUUGAGUGUCUUGUCAAAUGCUGACUAGCACUAUGAAUAUAAAAACUGAUCACUUGAUUGUAUCCAGCAGUCCAUAACUUAUAGAAUAAAAUAAUUUACAGAGGCAUCUAAUUCAGGCCAAGCCUCUUGGCAAACUUAAUUCAUGCUAUGAAUAUUUAUUGAUUUAACAUUAUGACAGUCUCUGUGCUAGAACUCAGGUAGGCUGUCCAAGACAACUUAGAGCUCAUGGCUUAACUAUUCCAAGCACAUGAGUUUACUAACAAUUUCCAUUGCAUCCAGGAAGCCUUCUUUUCUUAUCUGAAUUCCCAUUAAUCUAUACCAUUCACUAGACCCUUGAAUUCCAGGCUGGGUUGGAAAAUCAUCCAGCCCAGUAUAUCACAAAGUGAGGAAUGUGCACUAUUAGUGGUGUGCAAGACAGUUUGGCAGUUUAAACUGGUAAACUUUAAAAAAAAUUUAUAAAUAAUUAAACACUAACCCUCACAGUGUGAUGACAAUUGUGAUGGAGGUGUGCCCAACAUGGAAGCCUGUUUUGCUUACUGCAUAAUGCUGAAGAUGCUAGUGAUGAGUUUUU
rnacentral:lncRNA from 1 species